AACAAGUGAGGCUUAUGAGAAAGACUGAAGCACACUGACAAUGAUGUCCCUCAUCCUGCUGAUCUGGACGGCCGUGCUGUUUGCUCAGAACAGCAGUGCCGAUAUUAUCCUCAGUCAGCCCCAGCAGAUCCAAACUGCUCUUGUAGGACAGAGCGUCUCUUUCAAAUGCACCACCAGCACCUCCAUUAAUCAGUACUUGAUGUGGUACCAUCAGAAACCAGAGCAAGCUCCCCGGCUCCUGAUUUACGAUGCUGUUAACCUCUAUACUGGGAUUCCUGAGCGCUUCAAAGGCAGUGGAUCAGGCACAGACUUUACUCUGACCAUCAGUGACGUCCAGGACGAAGAUUCAGGAUAUUACUAUUGUCAGCAGAGGCAAAGUUGGCCCUUCACACAAUGAUAGACAGCCAUACAAAAACCUCCUCGACUUAACAGCAGUGCGGUCAU